CUCCCCUCUGUGUAGCAUCAUAGCAGUGAUCAACACAGCACAGGCACUACUGCCUCGGAGCUCACAGACCUGGAAGGACCACGGACAGAGGCACUGGAGCCUUCAACUGCCUGCUGUGAACUCCAGAGCCCUGGGGAUCUUCUUGGUGUUCUGGGUGAGAUGAACAAGAAAUGAGCCUCUUGCGUGGUGUCCUGCAUGGCUGCAGCAGCUGGUAGCUCACUCGCUGCACUUCCACCUUCCUCCAUGGGAAGAGCUGUGGGCCAAAGGAGUCUAUUGCCACAGAGCUGUGCUGCUUUAUGGAUCACAUGGGCUUCUUGCCCCUCUCAAAUCCUGCAGGAGAGUCAAGGUUUCUCAGCCCCAGUACUCUGCACCUUGCCGCUGAGUGGGGCCCCUUUCUUCCUCCUUUUGGAUGAAGCAAGCAAUUAAGGACUCGGGGGGACAACCUGCAAGCAAGAACUUAAGUCAACGAAAUCCAAUAAAUGACUUCUUCUAUUAUGUAGAAAUCAUGGGUGCUCGUAGCUACUAAUUGGCUGUCUUCCCUAUUUUCCUUUACAGUGUGUAAGUAGUUCCUUAGCACAAUUUUAUUUUGGAGCUUUCUAAUUAUAUUACUCCAGGCACCUACUGUCAAUGAGCUUGCCCAUGAGGGAGGGGGGGAGGUAGGGGGGUUAUUUAUGCAUUCUUAUAUUCCACCAGCAUUUAUGGAGUAACUCUGAUAAUCUCAGCGUUGCAGAUCAUGCCAAAGUGUAAUAUGUGAUCCCUGCCCUUGAGGAACUUAAAGACUCACUGGUGAGAAAUAAUAACUGUAUGGGGAAUUAUUCAAUCAAAGGUGUACAAACCAGACGAUGAGUAUUUAAGGGGAAUGAUGUUGUGGGAGGUUCAACAGUAAUAAUAUAUCUAUAGCUAUUUUUAUAUCCAUGAAAAUAAAGCCAAUAGAAAAAUAUACCCAGCAGAAGGGAAAUGGCGUAAACAGAGCCCUGGCAACUUGACUGAGCCAGUGAGGAGUCUGCUCCAGUUGGAGUGAAAGCUCCAUGUGGAGUAAUUGUGUUCCCACAGACACAAUUAAGCUCUCAAAGAUGACUAUAAUGCCACAGUGUUAUUCCCGCCCCUGGCCUUUCUCUUCCUCGGAUCAAUCCAUCAUCAAUCUAGUCUAACAAAACAUUCUAAGUACUUUGUGAAAAAUAUCACCCUCCCAUACCAAAACUGGCAGUGAUUUCCCACUGCCUGCUCAAUCCCACUGCUCACUGAAUCCAAACUCCCCCAUGGCACCUUGCAGCUCAGAUGCAAGCGUAGGGAAUGUCCCAGGUGAGGGCUGUGUCGGUCCAUAGUCAUUUGGCCUGGUACUGUCAGGGCAACCUCAGGUAGGACUCGAAACUCAGUCAAUCUGUAGCAGGCUGAUGGUUAAGUUGAUGAUUUUGUAUGGCCCGUGGAUGCUGUCAUAAAUAUCCAAGUGGCCCUUGGCAGAAAGACAUUCCCCACCCCUGACAGAGCCUCCAGGGUUGCAUUGUAGUGCAAUUGGUUAAAGGAAGGAUAGCAAAUUGAGUUUGAAUCCUGGUCCAGCCAUUGGCAUGUUACACAGACCCCUAAGGAACACAAUCCAACUUCCCUGUACCACAUAGAUCGUUGAAGGAAUUACAACAUUUAAUGUACAUAAUACUACUGCUUGGCACAUCGUCCACAGGAAAUGGAGUUAGGCUAUUAGUAGAGGAAUAAAGACAUUGAUUAAUGGAGCAAGGGAGUCUGGAGGGAAAUCUCUUCUCCCAGCCCUAAAGCAUCUGCGUGGUCCGAAGAAGACACAGAUGAUAUACUUAUCCCAUCUGCAUAUGGUGCAAAGUGGGGAGGGCUAGCAAAUAUAUUGGAUGAUAAAAUCAUUCCCAAUACUGUGCUAAGAAGCAACUAAAAGGAAUGGAUUUAAAAAGAAACAAGGAAUAGAGGUAAACACAGCCCAGUACUUGUCGUGCUGGUAAACCAGCUCUCUGGAAGAAAAAUAAAAAGUCCUGGCUAGCAGCAUUUGCUAAAUUGUGUGCUAUAAGGACUUAUACCAUAGCCAGUGUCAAGUUUUCAUAGGAUGUCCUGAACCCAAAUUGGAAAGAGUUGCUAACUUGGCUUUCAUGAGCUGGUGUGAGCGGAUUCCAGGAUACCACCAAAACCAGACAGAUCUAAACAGGAAAUAAACAAAUGGUAUGAGAAGAGAUGUGCCUACUACCCUCACUGGAAGUGGUCUCCACUGACGGGAAAGCCAUGGGUGCAUCAUGGAGAAGUGAAAAGUGACAGAGGAACCUUGGCCCUGUAGUCCACAGUAAUGGGACCCAGUGCCACCUCCCCUGCUUGCUGGCUGCAUGGUCUUUGAUGAGUCCCUAAGCUCCAUUUUAAUCCUCAUUUCCCCUUGUCUAAAAUGAGGAUGCUGAUGCUGAUGCCGAUGCCUGCUUGAUAAAUGCAUUCUCAGAGGGACACAGGAAACGUCGUGCUAAGAGCGAGCUCCGCAGUACGAAAAGGACAGGCAAUCAAAAGGGGGAGAAGAGGCAAAAGGUGCGUGUGGAUCAUCUGUGUCUGCAUCACUGAUCACCCAAGGCUUGAUUCUGUAAACAGCAGCUCUCUGGG